AUUAACGCUAGCGACAGGCAUAAUACAUGCAAGUUGAACGGCAGCACAGGUAGCAAUACUGGGUGGCGAGUGGCGCACGGGUGCGUAACACGUAUGCAACCUACCCUAUACAGGCGAAUAACCUUUAGAAAUGAGGGCUAAUACGCCGUAGUAUUACAGAUGGGCAUCUAUUUGUAAUUAAAGAUUUAUCGGUAUAGGAUGGGCAUGCGUCCCAUUAGUUAGUUGGUAAGGUAACGGCUUACCAAGACGAUGAUGGGUAGGGG
rnacentral:rRNA from 1 species